rnacentral:rRNA from 14 species
CUUAAUUUGACACAACACGGGAAACCUCACCCGGCCCGGACACGGACAGGAUUGACAGAUUGAUAGCUCUUUCUCGAUUCCGUGGGUGGUGGUGCAUGGCCGUUCUUAGUUGGUGGAGUGAUUUGUCUGGUUAAUUCCGUUAACGAACGAGACCGCAGCCUGCUAAAUAGUUUCGCGAACACUCCGUUGGCGUUGAGCUUCUUAGAGGGACAACUUGUCUUCAACAAGUGGAAGUUUGCGGCAAUAACAGGUCUGUGAUGCCCUUAGAUGUUCUGAACCGCACGCGUGUUACA